rnacentral:rRNA from 1 species
UGGGGAAUCUUGCGCAAUGGACGAAAGUCUGACGCAGCCACGCCGCGUGAGUGAAGAAGGCCUUCGGGUUGUAAAGCUCUGUCACCUGGGACGAAAACACUUAAGGUUAAUAGCCUUAGGGAUUGACGGUACCAGGGGAGGAAGCACCGGCUAACCUCGUGCCAGCAGCCGCGGUAAUACGAGGGGUGCAAGCGUUGCUCGGAGUUAAUGGGCGUAAAGGGUUGGUAGGUGGUCUUGUUUGUCUAAGGUGAAAUCCCAUGGCUUAACUGUGGACGUGCCUUAGAAACGGCAAGACUAGAGUCCUAGAGGGGUUUGUGGAAUUCCCGGUGUAGCGGUGAAAUGCGUAGAGAUCGGGAGGAACACCAGUGGCGAAGGCGGCAAACUGGAUAGGAACUGACACUCAACAACAAAAGCGUGGGGAGCAAACA